rnacentral:rRNA from 1 species
AACUAACGCUGGCGGCGUGCCUAACACAUGCAAGUCGUACGAGAAAGUUGGCUUCGGCCGAUGAGUACAGUGGCGCACGGGUGAGUAACGCGUGGAUAAUCUGCCCUUAAGUGUGGAAUAACGUACCGAAAGGUGCGCUAAUACCGCAUAAUGCCUGGCAACAUAAGUUGUCCGGCCAAAGAAGGCCUCUGCUUGCAAGCUUUCGCUAAAGGAUGAGUCCGCGUACCAUUAGCUAGUUGGUGGGGUAACGGCCUACCAAGGCGACGAUGGUUAGCUGGUCUGAGAGGAUGAUCAGCCACACUGGAACUGAGACACGGUCCAGACUCCUACGGGAGGCAGCAGUGGGGAAUAUUGCGCAAUGGGGGCAACCCUGACGCAGCAACGCCGCGUGAGUGAGGAAGGUUUUCGGACCGUAAAGCUCUGUCGAGCGGGAAGAAAUGUAUCAUGGCUAAUAUCCAUGAUACUUGACGGUACCGCUAAAGGAAGCACC